CAACCCUCGAACCCCUCCGGGGGGUCGGCGUUGGGGAUCGGCACCCCUCUCACCGGGUGCCGGCCCUGAAAUGCAGUGGCGGCCUCGCCGCGGCCUCUCCUGCGCAGUAGUUUGCACGACUCGCACCGGGAGCGCGGCGCGCCCACGCCCGUAAAACACCCAACUUACGAAA
rnacentral:misc_RNA from 1 species